rnacentral:rRNA from 1 species
UACGAAGGGGGCUAGCGUUGUUCGGAAUCACUGGGCGUAAAGCGCACGUAGGCGGAUCUUUAAGUCAGGGGUGAAAUCCCGAGGCUCAACCUCGGAACUGCCUUUGAUACUGGGGAUCUCGAGUCCGGGAGAGGUGAGUGGAACUGCGAGUGUAGAGGUGAAAUUCGUAGAUAUUCGCAAGAACACCAGUGGCGAAGGCGGCUCACUGGCCCGGAACUGACGCUGAGGUGCGAAAGCUAGGGGAGCAAACGGG